AUUGAACGCUGGCGGCAGGCCUAACACAUGCAAGUCGAGCGGAGCGGCGGACGGGUGAGUAAUGCCUAGGAAUCUGCCUGGUAGUGGGGGAUAACGUCCGGAAACGGGCGCUAAUACCACAUACUAUCAGAUGAGCCUAGGUCGGAUUAGCUAGUUGGUGGGGUAAAGGCCUACCAAGGCGACGAUCCGUAACUGGUCUGAGAGGAUGAUCAGUCAAACUGGGACUGAGACACGGUCCAAGCUCCUACGGGAGGCAGGAGUGGGGAAUAUUGGGCAAUGGGGGAAAGCCUGAUUCAGCCAUGCCGCGUGUGUGAAGGAGGUCUUCGGGUUGUAAAGCACUUUUAGUUGGGAAGCGUUACCAACAGAAUAAGCAACGGCUUACUUCGUGCCAGCAGCCGCGGUAAUAC
rnacentral:rRNA from 1 species